rnacentral:rRNA from 1 species
AGAGUUUGAUCCUGGCUCAGGAUGAACGCUAGCUACAGGCUUAACACAUGCAAGUCGAGGGGCAUCAGGAAGAAAGCUUGCUUUCUUUGCCGGCGACCGGCGCACGGGUGAGUAACACGUAUCCAACCUGCCCUUUACUCGGGGAUAGCCUUUCGAAAGAAAGAUUAAUACCCGAUAGCAUAAUGAUUCCGCAUGGUUUCAUUAUUAAAGGAUUCCGGUAAAGGAUGGGGAUGCGUUCCAUUAGGUUGUUGGUGAGGUAACGGCCCACCAAGCCUUCGAUGGAUAGGGGUUCUGAGAGGAAGGUCCCCCACAUUGGAACUGAGACACGGUCCAAACUCCUACGGGAGGCAGCAGUGAGGAAUAUUGGUCAAUGGGCGCUAGCCUGAACCAGCCAAGUAGCGUGAAGGAUGAAGGCUCUAUGGGUCGUAAACUUCUUUUAUAUAAGAAUAAAGUGCAGUAUGUAUACUGUUUUGUAUGUAUUAUAUGAAUAAGGAUCGGCUAACUCCGUGCCAGCAGCCGCGGUAAUACGGAGGAUCCGAGCGUUAUCCGGAUUUAUUGGGUUUAAAGGGAGCGUAGGUGGACUGGUAAGUCAGUUGUGAAAGUUUGCGGCUCAACCGUAAAAUUGCAGUUGAUACUGUCAGUCUUGAGUACAGUAGAGGUGGGCGGAAUUCGUGGUGUAGCGGUGAAAUGCUUAGAUAUCACGAAGAACUCCGAUUGCGAAGGCAGCUCACUGGACUGCAACUGACACUGAUGCUCGAAAGUGUGGGUAUCAAACAGGAUUAGAUACCCUGGUAGUCCACACAGUAAACGAUGAAUACUCGCUGUUUGCGAUAUACAGUAAGCGGCCAAGCGAAAGCAUUAAGUAUUCCACCUGGGGAGUACGCCGGCAACGGUGAAACUCAAAGGAAUUGACGGGGGCCCGCACAAGCGGAGGAACAUGUGGUUUAAUUCGAUGAUACGCGAGGAACCUUACCCGGGCUUAAAUUGCAGUGGAAUGAUGUGGAAACAUGUCAGUGAGCAAUCACCGCUGUGAAGGUGCUGCAUGGUUGUCGUCAGCUCGUGCCGUGAGGUGUCGGCUUAAGUGCCAUAACGAGCGCAACCCUUAUCUUCAGUUACUAACAGGUCAUGCUGAGGACUCUGGAGAGACUGCCGUCGUAAGAUGUGAGGAAGGUGGGGAUGACGUCAAAUCAGCACGGACCUUACGUCCGGGGCUACACACGUGUUACCAAUGGGGGGUACCAGAAAGGCCAGCUAGCGGGUGACCGUAUGCUAAUCACAAAAUCCUCUCUCAGUUCGGAUCGAAGUCUUGCAACCCGACUUCGUGAAGCUGGAUUCGCUAGUAAUCGCGCAUCAGCCACUGAGGCGGUGAAUACGUUCCCGAGGCCUUGUACACACCGGGCCGUCAAGCCCAUGGGAGCCGAGAGGUACCUGAAGUUACGUAACCGGAAGGAUCGUCCUUAGGUAAAACUG